UGCCCACAUCAUGUUGAAGUACCAGUUCUCAUACAAUCAUUGAAGUUAAGCAAUGUCAAGUCUGGUCAGUACCUAAAUGAGUGACCACUUGGGAAUACCAGGUACUGUAAG